rnacentral:rRNA from 1 species
AUUGAACGCUGGCGGCAUGCUUUACACAUGCAAGUCGAACGGCAGCGCGGGCUUCGGCCUGGCGGCGAGUGGCGAACGGGUGAGUAAUGCAUCGGAACGUGCCCAGUAGUGGGAGAUAGCCCGGCGAAAGCCGGAUUAAUACCGCAUACGACCUGAGGGUGAAAGCGGGGGACCGAAAGGCCUCGCGCUAUUGGAGCGGCCGAUGUCGGAUUAGCUAGUUGGUGGGGUAAAGGCUUACCAAGGCGACGAUCCGUAGCUGGUCUGAGAGGACGACCAGCCACACUGGGACUGAGACACGGCCCAGACUCCGACGGGAGGCAGCAGUGGGGAAUUUUGGACAAUGGGGGCAACCCUGAUCCAGCCAUGCCGCGUGCGGGAAGAAGGCCUUCGGGUUGUAAACCGCUUUUGUUCGGGAAGAAAUCCUCUGGGCUAAUACCCCGGGGGGAUGACGGUACCGGAAGAAUAAGCACCGGCUAACUACGUG